rnacentral:rRNA from 1 species
GACGAACGCUGGCGGCGUGCUUAACACAUGCAAGUCGAACGGUGAGGCCCUGCUUUCAGGGUACUCGUGUGGCGAACGGGUGAGUAACACGUGUGUGAUCUGCCCUUGACUUCGGGAUAAGCCUGGGGAACUGGGUCUAUAAUCGGAUAUGAGCCUUUUUUAUUUUUAUGGUUGGAAUGUUUUUUCGGUUUAGGAUGAUCUCGCGGCCUAUCAGCUUGUUGGUGGGGUAAUGGUCUACCAAGGCGGCGACGGGUAGCCGGCCUGAGGGGGUGGACGGCCACAUUGGGACUGCGAUACGGCGCAGACGCCAACGGGAGGCAGCAGAGGGGAAUAUUGCACAAUGGGCGCAAGCCUGAUGCAGCGACGCCGCGUGCGGGAUGACGGCCUUCGGGUUGUAAACUCCUUUCGCUAGGGACGAAGCUUUUUGUGACGGUAUCUAGACAAGAAGCACCGGCUAACUACGUG